AAUAGACCCCGGUAGUCCACGCCGUAAACGAUGAGUGCUAAGUGUUAGAGGGUUUCCGCCCUUUAGUGCUGCAGCUAACGCAUUAAGCACUCCGCCUGGGGAGUACGGUCGCAAGACUGAAACUCAAAGGAAUUGACGGGGGCCCGCACAAGCGGUGGAGCAUGUGGUUUAAUUCGAAGCAACGCGAAGAACCUUACCAGGUCUUGACAUCCUCUGACAACUCUAGAGAUAGAGCGUUCCCCUUCGGGGGACAGAGUGACAGGUGGUGCAUGGUUGUCGUCAGCUCGUGUCGUGAGAUGUUGGGUUAAGUCCCGCAACGAGCGCAACCCUUGAUCUUAGUUGCCAGCAUUUAGUUGGGCACUCUAAGGUGACUGCCGGUGACAAACCGGAGGAAGGUGGGGAUGACGUCAAAUCAUCAUGCCCCUUAUGACCUGGGCUACACACGUGCUACAAUGGAUGGUACAAAGGGCUGCAAGACCGCGAGGUCAAGCCAAUCCCAUAAAACCAUUCUCAGUUCGGA
rnacentral:rRNA from 1 species